ACUUCAGUGAGGAACCUUGUGCCAAGCAUUGUACAUACAGCAUAUCAUGCCAUCUUCAACCCUAGGACAUGGGUGUUACUGUGCCCAGGUGACAUUUGGGGAACCCAAGGCCCCGAAAAAGGCAGAAAAAUAACCCACGCAGGGACUCUCAGCCCACAAGUGAAGCUGUAAGUCAACCCCAUCCGUCCAACUCUAAAUCCCAUGUCUCUGACGUGCCUGGGUGGGAGUUGGGCCCUUGGAGAUCAGACCCUGCCUCUCUCCAGGAGAACCGGGAAUGGAAAACAGGGAGGCAGCACAGAGGCAGGAAGCCCAGGUGUCACAGCUUGGCUCAGGAAAGGAUGCCAAGACGCAGACAGGAGCUUGUGGCGGUCACCCAGCGAAUCGUCCCCAGCUAGGGCUGGAACUGAAGACUCAGGCUUGGGGAGGAGUCAGUUCAGAAACCUUGAGGGUCUUCUCUGA
rnacentral:lncRNA from 1 species